GCCCCGGUAAACGGCGGCCGUAACUAUAACGGUCCUAAGGUAGCGAAAUUCCUUGUCGGGUAAGUUCCGACCUGCACGAAUGGCGUAAUGAUGGCCAGGCUGUCUCCACCCGAGACUCAGUGAAAUUGAACUCGCUGUGAAGAUGCAGUGUACCCGCGGCAAGACGGAAAGACCCCGUGAACCUUUACUAUAGCUUGACACUGAACACUGGUCCUUGAUGUGUAGGAUAGGUGGGAGGCUUUGAAGCGUGGACGCCAGUCUGCGUGGAGCCGUCCUUGAAAUACCACCCUUUAAUGGCUGGUGUUCUAACGUAGACCCGUAAUCCGGGUUGCGGACAGUGUCUGGUGGGUAGUUUGACUGGGGCGGUCUCCUCCCAAAGAGUAACGGAGGAGCACGAAGGUUAGCUAAUCCUGGUCGGACAUCAGGAGGUUAGUGCAAUGGCAUAAGCUAGCUUGACUGCGAGAGUGACGGCUCGAGCAGGUGCGAAAGCAGGUCAUAGUGAUCCGGUGGUUCUGAAUGGAAGGGCCAUCGCUCAACGGAUAAAAGGUACUCCGGGGAUAACAGGCUGAUACCGCCCAAGAGUUCAUAUCGACGGCGGUGUUUGGCACCUCGAUGUCGGCUCAUCACAUCCUGGGGCUGAAGUAGGUCCCAAGGGUAUGGCUGUUCGCCAUUUAAAGUGGUACGCGAGCUGGGUUUAGAACGUCGUGAGACAGUUCGGUCCCUAUCUGCCGUGGGCGCUGGAGAAUUGAGGGGGGCUGCUCCUAGUACGAGAGGACCGGAGUGGACGCAUCACUGGUGUUCGGGUUGUCAUGCCAAUGGCACUGCCCGGUAGCUAAAUGCGGAAGAGAUAAGUGCUGAAAGCAUCUAAGCACGAAACUUGC
rnacentral:rRNA from 1 species